rnacentral:rRNA from 1 species
AUUGAACGCUGGCGGCAGGCCUAACACAUGCAAGUAGAACGAGUGGCGGACGGGUGAGUCAUGUCUGGGAAACUGCCCGCUGGAGGGGGAUACCUACUGGAAACGGUAGCUAAUACAGCAUACCAUCGGAUGGGCCCAGAUGGGAUUGGCUGGUAGGUGGGGUAACGGCUCACCUAGGCGACGAUCCCUAGCUGGUCUGAGAGGAUGACCAGCCACACGGGCACAUAGACACAGUCCAGACUCCUACGGGAGGCUGCAUUGGGAGAUAAUGCACAAUGGGCGCAAGCCUGAUGCAGCCAUGCGGCGUGUAUGAAGAAGCCCCUGGGGUUGUAACGUACUUUCAGCGAGAAGGCGUUACUCGCAGAAGAGGCACCUGCGAACUCUGUGCCAGCAGCCGCGGUAAUUC